UCGGGACUUUUGGGCAAUGGGCGAAAGCCUGACCCAGCAACGCCGCGUGAAGGAUGAAAUCCCUCGGGAUGUAAACUUCGCAAGAACGGGAAGAAUAAGUAAGGGUUAAUAUCCCUUAUGAUGACGGUACUGUUUGUAAGCUCCGGCUAACUCCGUGCCAGCAGCCGCGGUAAUACGGGGGGAGCAAGCGUUGUUCGGAUUUACUGGGCGUAAAGGGCGCGUAGGCGGCCACCGCAAGUCGACUGUGAAAUCUCCGGGCUUAACUCGGAAAGGUCAGCCGAUACUGCGGGGCUAGAGUGCAGAAGGGGCAACUGGAAUUCUCGGUGUAGCGGUGAAAUGCGUAGAUAUCGAGAGGAACACCUGCGGCGAAGGCGGGUUGCUGGGCUGACACUGACGCUGAGGCGCGAAAGCUAGGGGAGCGAACGGGAUUAGAUACCCCGGUAGUCCUAGCCUUAAACGAUGAAUGCUUGGUGUCUGGGGUUUAUAGUCCCCGGGUGCCGUCGCUAACGCUUUAAGCAUUCCG
rnacentral:rRNA from 1 species